rnacentral:rRNA from 1 species
CAAAGGCUUGGUCCUGACUUUAUUAUCAACUUUAGCCAAACUUACACAUGCAAGUAUCCGCGCACCCGUGAGAAUGCCCUUACAGUUUCCAGCAUGGAAACAAGGAGCUGGUAUCAGGCACAUCAAUUAAAGCCCACGACGCCUUGCUCAGCCACACCCCCAAGGGAACUCAGCAGUGAUAAACAUUAAGCCAUAAGUGAAAACUUGACUUAGUUAAAGCUAAAAGAGCCGGUAAAACUCGUGCCAGCCACCGCGGUUAUACGAGAGGCUCAAGUUGAUGAACCCCGGCGUAAAGAGUGGUUAAGAGAGAUCAAAACUAAAGCCGAAUGCUUUCAAAGCUGUUAUACGCUUCCGAAAGUAAGAAGCCCAAUCACGAAAGUGGCUUUACUUUACCUGACCCCACGAAAGCUACGACACA